rnacentral:rRNA from 1 species
GACGAACGCUGGCGGCGUGCCUAAUACAUGCAAGUCGAACGCAGUGGGGACGGGUGAGUAACACGUGGGUAACCUCCCAUCAGAGGGGAUAACACUUGGAAACAGGUGCUAAACCGAUACUGAUGGAUGGACCCGCGGUGCAUUAGCUAGUUGGCGGGGUAACGGCUCACCAAGGCCACGAUGCAUUGCCGACUUGAAAGGGUGAGCGGCCACACUGGGACUGGGGAACGUCCCGGACUCCUCCGGGAGGCAGCAGUAGGGAAGCUUCGGCAAGGUACGAAAGUCUAACCGAGCAAAGCCGCGUAAGUGAAGAAGGUUUUCGGAUCGUAAAACUCUGUUGGUAGAGAAGCGGUAUCUAACCAGAAAGCCACGGCUAACUACGUGCCAGCAGCCGCGGUAAUAC